GGAGGGGGUUAGCGUUGUUCGGAAUUACUGGGCGUAAAGCGCGCGUAGGCGGAUUAGAAAGUUGGGGGUGAAAUCCCGGGGCUCAACCUCGGAACUGCCUCCAAAACUGCUAGUCUAGAGUUCGAGAGAGGUGAGUGGAAUUCCGAGUGUAGAGGUGAAAUUCGUACAUAUUCGGAGGAACACCAGUGGCGAAGGCGGCUCACUGGCUCGAUACUGACGCUGAGGUGCGAAAGUGUGGGGAGCAAACAGGAUUAGAUACCCUGGUAGUCCACACCGUAAACGAUGAAUGCCAGUCGUCGGGUAGUAUACUAUUCGGUGACACACCUAACGGAUUAAGCAUUCCGCCUGGGGAGUACCGUCGCAAGAUUAAAACUCAAAGGAAUUGACGGGGGCCCGCACNAGCGGUGGANCAUGUGGUUUAAUUCGAAGCAACGCGCAGAACCUUACCAACCCUUGACAUCCUGUUGCUACAUCCAAAGAUGGAUUGUUCCCCUUCCGGGACCCAAUGACAGGUGCUGCAUNGCUGUCNUCCCUCCUU
rnacentral:rRNA from 1 species